CCUACGGGAGGCAGCAGUAUAGGGAAUCUUCGGCAAUGGGGGCAACCCUGACCGAGCAACGCCGCGUGAGUGAAGAAGGUUUUCGGAUCGUAAAGCUCUGUUGUAAGAGAAGAACGUGUGUGAGAGUGGAAAGUUCACACAGUGACGGUAACUUACCAGAAAGGGACGGCUAACUACGUGCCAGCAGCCGCGGUAAU
rnacentral:rRNA from 1 species